rnacentral:miRNA from 1 species
UAUUCGGUUGGUGCAAAAGUAAUUGCGGUUUUUGCCAUUGAAAGUAAUAGCAAAAACCGCAAUUACUUUUGCACCACCUUAAUA